GACCCCUCUUGCUUUUCCAGUUCAUCUCACCUACUCAGUGUCAAUGACAGAGAAAAGGAAAAUGGACAUAAGGUCAUCUUUAGGUGCACCUAAACGCCAAGCAAAGGAGACAGAAAUUAUUGUGGGACAAGUCGAGCAGGGUCAAUCAGACGUACAGUGUCAGGCUGACAGUGGGAAAAGAAGAGGCAUAAUCGUCCUCGUCUUGGUGUGUAGAUGGAUGUGGUCCUGUGCUUGAUGAGAUGCAAACAUGAAUUAUCCCAAGGGAAAUUAUUAAGACAGAGAUUCAAAGGGUUUUGCCUACACCCUGCCGAAUGUGCAGAAUGUAAAUUUGA